CUUUUGUUCCUUAUCCCGUCGGCCGUCGCUAUCUCUCUUUCCCCUUGAUUUUUCCUGCCGCCGCUCAGUUCCUGGAAGCAAAUCCCGCCGCCGAAGACUUGCUUCUUCCCAGCCGAGCCCUUUCCCCACCCGUUCCUCCAUCUCACUGUGUCGGCGCUCUCCACUCCACACCUCGUUCCUGUGCUGGCCAUCUUCUUCCUCUGCGUGGUGGCCUACCCCUGUCGGUGCCCAGUCCGAGUGCCGCGUCGCGCCCCCCGUCUCCUCUGCUCGCUCAGCGCCCAUCUCCUACGGUGCCUGGCAGCCGCUUCCUCUCUGCUCGCCGCCGCACGCCCUGGAGCUCCAAUCGUCGCGCCCUCGGCUCCCUCUUGCCGUGCGCGUCGUGGCAGCUAUCCGGCCGCGGAGCAGUCCACGCCAUGGAGCUCCCUACCUGACCGCGACCUCGCCGGAAAGCUCUCGCGGCGCUCCUCCUCUGCUGGCGCUCGCCCUGCCCUCUGCCAUGGACGCCGUCGGCCUUGACUCCCUCUGGCCGCGGCAUCCGUCUUACUCCCUGCUCGACCCUGUUUCUCUCCCAAGCACCUCCGAUGGCCUUGCUCGUCUCGCCCCCACCAGAAAAGGCCAUCGGGACAUCGUGCUGGUCGCGAGUCUCCUCUGUGCUCCAUAAUCACCUGGACGAGCCUCAACUCAUUUACGACCUCCCCCUCUCAGCACGUCAGUGCAGAUGUCAUAUUUGGCCGCGCUCUGUGCUACUCUAGCUCGCGUUCAUUCCUAGGUUUGAGUUUGUGUACCACUUGUUCGACAAAAUGUGUGAACCAGUUGUCGACCUCGCCAUGGAUAGCCGAUGCGCCAUCUAUCGCUCCUCGCCGAUGUCUCCCUCUGCCAUUCCUACAACAGGUGAGGCACCUAGGAUGUUUGUGAUAAAAAAAGGGUUUCAGCACAUUGCACAUCAGGUACGAUAAUUAAUCACGUGAUGCGGAGGACCAGAAAUGAGUCGACCACAAGAUGAGGACCAGAAAUGAGUCGACCACAAGAUGCUGGAAAGCGUGAGCUUCUCCGCAAGAUGAAGUUGAUGGAUUAACCUGAAGAUGGACAGAUGAAACAAGUAUAAGAACAAAAGAUGGUCGUCAAGCGGGCGUCGUCUAACAAACACUAACGUAGUGUUUGUCCCAGGCAAGCCCCGGUGCAUGCAACCCCUUCCUUGUGUUUUUAAAUUAUUUGUACACACUUUAAGUCUAGUGAAUGUUCAUUAGGUUUAAGUGAGUUGCUUGGAAACCUUUUGAUGC